rnacentral:rRNA from 1 species
AUUGAACGCUGGCGGCAGGCUUAACACAUGCAAGUCGAACGAGUGGCGGACGGGUGAGUAAUGCCUGGGAAUCUACCUGAUGGAGGGGGAUAACUACGGGAAACUGUAGCUAAUACCGCGUACCAUAGGAUGAGCCCAAGUGGGAUUAGGUAGUUGGUGAGGUAAAGGCUCACCAAGGCGACGAUCCCAAGCUGGUCUGAGAGGAUGACCAGCCACACUGGAACUGAGACACGGCCCAGACUCCUACGGGAGGCAGCAGUGGGGAAUAUUGCACAAUGGGCGCAAGCCUGAUGCAGCCAUGCCGCGUGUAUGAAGAAGGCCCUAGGGUUGUAAAGUACUUUCAGUGGGGAGGCGUUACCGGCAGAAGAAGCACCGGCUAACUCCGUGCCAGCAGCCGCGGUAAUAC